rnacentral:rRNA from 1 species
UACGGAGGGUGCGAGCGUUGUCCGGAAUCAUUGGGCGUAAAGAGCGUGUAGGCGGCCAGGUAGGUCUGCUGUGAAAACUCGAGGCUCAACCUCGAGACGUCGGCGGAAACCAUCUGGCUAGAGUCCGGAAGAGGAGAGUGGAAUUCCUGGUGUAGCGGUGAAAUGCGCAGAUAUCAGGAAGAACACCCGUGGCGAAGGCGGCUCUCUGGGACGGUACUGACGCUGAGACGCGAAAGCGUGGGGAGCGAACAGG